UUGUUUCAAAGAGAAGUCAAACUUAUCUUGUCGUUUGACUUUUGGCUUUUUGAACAACUGUAGUUGACAUACACACUGUGUCAGCUACCUCAUUUUUAACCGUAUUUCAAAGACGUCUCGGCCUCCAAACCAUAGAGGGCUAUUCUCGGCGAAAAAGCGGAGAAACACAUUGAAAACUUGUAAAUCGCUGCAAGCAAGCACAUGUGUAUAUUUUGUACAACAUGCAAUCCUUGCACGCUUACAAAAGAAAGCAGGAAAGCUCUAAUUUUGCUGCUGCGAAUGAACCUUUUGGUACAUCAGAGCUAAAUUCGAAAAAGCAACGUCUAAGCUAUGAACAACAUCCUAUGAAUGGCGAGCAGACCCAAUACAAUAAUGAUAACCACGUAGCCAAUGGCUACAUUCAUGAUCAGAUGAAUGGCCAUUCGCAGACCAGUAACAACCAUUUAGAAACUCCUGUCACCGUUCAUUUACAAGAAGAUGAAAUGGCCAGCGAUGUUGGCAGGGUUCCUGAACCAAUGGAAUGUGCCGAGGAACAGAGGGAGUCCAAGACUGAAGUGAAUGGUAACUUGGUGCCAACUUCCAAUGGGAAGUAUUGUCCUCAUGGUCAUCUGAAUAUGUGUACAACUUACAAUGUUCCUUGUCGAUAUCCCAGAAUGUAUUGCCACCCUGGUGGUUUGCUAGAAGAUCGCUUAUCGAUAUAUCAUGGCAUCUGAUUCGACGUCGUAAUCAUCUUCAGAAUCACAGAAUCAUAUUGACAGAAGAGCUUUAAGGGCUUGCAUUGUAUCCAUUGCAUCUAAAUGGAGCUCGUUGCGAUGAAGGCAUGGCAGGGCGGUGAGUAUAAAUAUUUUGAGUAAUUUUUCCAGACGGUAAUUCCUAGGUUUGCCAGAUAGUCAAUACAGUUACUGAUAUAGGAAGUGUGAAGUUGUGGUUUACGUUUCGAGUUUGUACCCGUCUUAGACACACUGUGCAAAACUCCGCUAGUAAUUUGCCAGCCGUAUAAGUCCAAUCUAACGCCUGUAUUCUAAAAGCUCACUCACACUCAAACUCAUUGAGUGGGAGAUCUUAAUCCUCUCAUAACGUUUCAA
rnacentral:misc_RNA from 1 species